UCUGCCACUAGAAGCAUUGCAGGCAUGGCUGCUGUGUCAUAUGUGCAUCUGUGGGUGGCAGAGAGGAGUUCUGAACAUC
ensembl:snoRNA LOC120095455 small nucleolar RNA SNORA17